CAGCUCCACGGCAAACAGCAGGGUUUGGGGUCUGGAGUGCUGUGGGCUGGGGGGCAGGAGGGGUUUGGGGUGCUCCCAGUGCUCCGUAAGGCCCCGGGGAGGCUGGAGCUGUCAGGCAGGGGUGUCUGGGGAGAGGCCAGCGGGGAGAUGAGGAGCAGGGAGGGCAGCUCGGAGUGGGGUGUGCUGUCCGUGUUGGCAUCACAGGGAAGGAAGUUCUGGCUGGAGAGGGGCCCGAGCUGCUGCUCCAGUACCGUUCCCACCUCCAGAGAAGGCUCUGGGAGCUGUUUGCUCCAGGUUCCUUGGAAUCUCUGCUGUUCCCUGCUGGAGUGGGCAGCGCUGCUCGGCCUGGAAGGGGCUGGGCUCCCUCCUGUGCUGCCCCAUCCCUGCAGAUCUGGAGCACCCCGGGGCUGAUCCAGCCGGGCAUUCCCGGCGGCUGGGGGGUGCCUGCUGCCCUCUGAUCCCAUCUUGUCUCCACAGGGAGCGGGGAUGGACAGGGACAGAUCCUGCAGCGCUUCCCGGAGAAGGACUGGGAGGACAACCCCUUCCCACAGGGCAUCGAGCUGGUGAGAGGCGGGGUGACACCGGGGGUGACACCGGGGGUGACACCGGGGGUGACACGGGACACGGGGUCUGGCUGGGGGGCCGGGAGGGAGCACUUCCCACCUGCCUCAGGUGCAUCUCCAGCUGUGGAACUCUCAGAAAGUGUGGGAUCCAGUGCUGGCUCCUCUCCUGGCCUCCUGCUACCCCUCCUGUUCUGGGAUGCUGGGAUGUCUCCGGGAGGAUCCAUGGAUGCAGCCUUAGUGUGCACAGCCCCCCAGGAGCAUGGGCAGGCCUUUCACAAAAUCACAGGAUCUCACAGGACCACACAGGGUAUCACAGAAUAUCACAGUCACAGAAUCUCACAGAAUCACAGGAUCUCAGGAUCACACAGAAUCCACAAUCACAGAAUCACAGACUCACACAGAAUCACAGGAUUUCACACAAUCACAGAAUCACACAGAAUCACAGAAUCACAGAAUCACAGGAUCUCACAGAAUCACACAAUUACAGAAUCACACAAUUACAGAAUCACACAGAAUCACAGGAUCACACAGAAUUCACAUAAUC
rnacentral:lncRNA from 1 species